GGGCGGGCUAGCGUUACCCGAUAUACGCAAAUACUUCCAGGCCGCGGUCUUACAACGGAUUAGGGACUGGCAUGUAGCGUCUGAAAACAAAUUGUGGGCUGCACUGGAUAGAGAAAGCACAAAUAAAGCCCUUCACAUGUAUACAUGGCACAGCUCGGCAGAUGCAGCAUCAAAACUAGGCAAUUCAUCACCCAUUGUACAAACGCUGAAGACAUGGUCAACCUUGAGACGGAACCAACACCUCUCCCC